rnacentral:rRNA from 1 species
AGAGUUUGAUCCUGGCUCAGAUUGAACGCUGGCGGCAUGCCUUACACAUGCAAGUCGAACGGUAACAGGUCUUCGGAUGCUGACGAGUGGCGAACGGGUGAGUAAUACAUCGGAACGUGCCCGAUCGUGGGGGAUAACGAGGCGAAAGCUUUGCUAAUACCGCAUACGAUCUACGGAUGAAAGCGGGGGAUCUUCGGACCUCGCGCGGACGGAGCGGCCGAUGGCAGAUUAGGUAGUUGGUGGGAUAAAAGCUUACCAAGCCGACGAUCUGUAGCUGGUCUGAGAGGAUGAUCAGCCACACUGGGACUGAGACACGGCCCAGACUCCUACGGGAGGCAGCAGUGGGGAAUUUUGGACAAUGGGCGAAAGCCUGAUCCAGCCAUGCCGCGUGCAGGAUGAAGGCCUUCGGGUUGUAAACUGCUUUUGUACGGAACGAAAAGCCUCUUUCUAAUAAAGAGGGGUCAUGACGGUACCGUAAGAAUAAGCACCGGCUAACUACGUGCCAGCAGCCGCGGUAAUACGUAGGGUGCAAGCGUUAAUCGGAAUUACUGGGCGUAAAGCGUGCGCAGGCGGUUUUGUAAGACAGAGGUGAAAUCCCCGGGCUCAACCUGGGAACUGCCUUUGUGACUGCAAGGCUGGAGUGCGGCAGAGGGGGAUGGAAUUCCGCGUGUAGCAGUGAAAUGCGUAGAUAUGCGGAGGAACACCGAUG